UAGCUCAACUGGUAGAGCAUGACAUCAACACUGUCAGGGUUAGGGGUUUGAUUCCCACUGGGCCA
rnacentral:tRNA from 1 species